GCGGAGGAAAAGAAAAUAACAAUGAUUUCCCUAGUAACGGCGAGUGAAGAGGAAAGAGCUCAAAGUUGGAAACUGUUUGGCUUAGCUAAACCGUAUUGUAAACUGUAGAAACAUUUUCCUGGCACACCAGAUUAAUAAGUCCUUUGGAACAAGGCAUCAUGGAGGGUGAGAAUCCCGUCUUUGAUCUGAGUAGUUGUCUUUUGUGAUAUGUUUUCAAAGAGUCAGGUUGUUUGGGAAUGCAGCCUAAAUUGGGUGGUAAAUCUCACCUAAAGCUAAAUAUUUGCGAGAGACCGAUAGCGAACAAGUACCGUGAGGGAAAGAUGAAAAGAACUUUGAAAAGAGAGUUAAACAGUAUGUGAAAUUGUUAAAAGGGAACCGUUUGGAGCCAGACUGGUUUGACUGUAAUCAACCUAGAAUUCGUUUUGGGUGCACUUGCAGUCUAUACCUGCCAACAACAGUUUGAUUUGGAGGAAAAAAUUAGUAGGAAUGUGGCCUCUCGAGGUGUUAUAGCCUACUAUCAUACUCUGGAUUGGACUGAGGAACGCAGCGAAUGCCUUUAGGCGAGAUUGCUGGGUGCUUUCGCUAAUAAAUGUUAGAAUUUCUGCUUCGGGUGGUGCUAAUGUUUAAAGGAGGAACACAUCUAGUAUAUUUUUUAUUCGCUUAGGUUGUUGGCUUAAUGACUCUAAAUGACCCGUCUUGAAACACGGACCAAGGAGUCCACCAUAAGUGCAAGUAUUUGAGUGACAAACUCAUAUGCGUAAGGAAACUGAUUGAUACGAAGUCUUACGAUGGCAGUAUCACCCCGGCGUUGACGUUUUAUACUGAACUGACCGAGGUAAAGCACUUAUGAUGGGACCCGAAAGAUGGUGAACUAUGCCUGAAUAGGGUGAAGCCAGAGGAAACUCUGGUGGAGGCUCGUAGCGAUUCUGACGUGCAAAUCGAUCGUCAAAUUUGGGUAUAGGGGCGAAAGA
rnacentral:rRNA from 1 species